ACAUAAUCAAAAUUUCAGAUGGGACCUUUGGUAACAAUGUUGAAAUUCUGAUUUUUUUUAAAUAUUUAAAGUAUUUUCUUAGUGCAAGUAUCAUAAGACACCAUAGAUAUCAGUGCAGGAACAAACAAGGAACUUUUGAAAUUCCAUACUUCAGGGAACUACCAGUGGGGCGUGCCAAUGCCAUCAGAGUACCCAGGAAGAACAUCCCGAAUGAAAUGGAUAAUUUCCCGUUUUAUUUGGAUACACAUUCGAUCAAUCGCACCCAUUCUACAAGCAAGAUACGAACAAAUUGGAAUCGAAACAGGAAGCUCUGUGUUGUUGCGCUCAUCAAGGAAAUUAAUGGAAAGGAUCAUAUAGUGCCGUCGAAGGUACACCGAAGCUUGGAAUGUGAAGUUU